UACGAAGGGGGCUAGCGUUGCUCGGAAUUACUGGGCGUAAAGGGCGCGUAGGCGGAUACUUAAGUUAGAGGUGAAAGCCCAGGGCUCAACCCUGGAAUAGCCUUUAAUACUGGGUAUCUUGAGUUCGGGAGAGGUGAGUGGAACUCCGAGUGUAGAGGUGAAAUUCGUAGAUAUCGGGAGGAACACCAGUGGCGAAGGCGGCGAUCUGGGUCGAUACUGACGCUGAGGUGCGAAAGCGUGGGGAGCAAACAGG
rnacentral:rRNA from 1 species